GACCUGGUGGUGUAAGGCAACACACCUGCGUUACUUGAUCACCGGGUCCACAUUGUGCAGGAGACCCCCGUUCGAAUCGGGGCCAGGUCG